rnacentral:lncRNA from 1 species
GUGCAGUGGUGUGAUCUCGGCUCACUGUGACCUCUGCCUCCUGGGUUUAAGCGAUUCUCCUGCCUCAGCCUCCCGAGUAACUGGGACUACAGCUGCAGGAAACAGAAAAUGCACUGCCUAGAUGGACCCUCUGACUCCCCACCACCCAGGCUGGAGCGGCAGAGGCUGCCAGGAAGAGCCAGAAAACAGGUGAACCCAAGGCCACUCCCUCCCCAGCCUGAGGAACACUCUACUGGUAAGGGGAGAAAUGCCUCAAAUGAGCAUGUGCACAACUUCAGUAAACAUGCUGUGCAUGUGGCCCCUCCCAAGUGCCCGCAGGCCACCACACAAGUGGACAGCCCUGGACAGCCCGCCCCUAGGGAAGAAUCAAGGGAGGAGAAACAGAAGCCCUGGAACUGUGCUAGCAUAUAAAACCCCAAGUCAAGGGCUGAAUGGCACACUUGGAUCUCUCAAGUCACCUGCUUGGCCCCCUUCCAAGUGUAUUUACUUCCAUUUGUUCCUGCUCUAAAACUUUUUAAUAAACUUUCACUCCUGCUCUAA